rnacentral:tRNA from 1 species
CUCGUGAUGGCUGAGUGGUCGAAGGCGGCAGACUGCAAAUCUGUUUGGAGAAAUCCGCACACCGGUUCAAAUCCGGUUCACGAGUCCA